rnacentral:piRNA from 1 species
UACCUGAGAACGAAGGUGUGUAUGGGC